rnacentral:rRNA from 1 species
AUACGGAGGGUGCAAGCGUUAUCCGGAUUUAUUGGGUUUAAAGGGUUCGUAGGCGGAUCAAUAAGUCAGUGGUGAAAGCCUGUGGCUCAACCAUAGAACUGCCAUUGAUACUGUUGAUCUUGAGUACACUUGAAGUGGGCGGAAUGCGUCAUGUAGCGGUGAAAUGCAUAGAUAUGACGCAGAACACCGAUUGCGAAGGCAGCUCACUAAAUUGUAACUGACGCUGAGGGACGAAAGCGUGGGGAGCGAACAGGAUUAGAAACCCUUGUAGUCC